GGUGAGUUACCGAGCAAUUCAAUCCUUCGAUCAUACAACAUCUUGAAAAGACCAUGGGUAUUGAAAUAUGUCAAACCCAAAUAUCUUUUCAUAUGUAUCUCAAUUCGAUGAUGAUGACUCGAUUGAUGAACCAGUAAAAAUUAUUUUUACUGUUUAUCCCUGCUCUGAUCAGAGACUCUCAGAGUCAUCAUCCUAUGAGAUCACAUAGGAUGUUCUCUCUUCCUAUAAAGAGUGAUCAAUUUUUUAUUGACCACUCACAAUCUCCAUGCACACUUCACC
rnacentral:lncRNA from 1 species